GAUGAACGCUGGCGGCGUGCCUAAUACAUGCAAGUCGAGCGAACGGACGAGAAGCUUGCUUCUCUGAUGUUAGCGGCGGACGGGUGAGUAACACGUGGAUAACCUACCUAUAAGACUGGGAUAACUUCGGGAAACCGGAGCUAAUACCGGAUAAUAUUUUGAACCGCAUGGUUCAGAAGUGAAAGACGGUCUUGCUGUCACUUAUAGAUGGAUCCGCGCUGCAUUAGCUAGUUGGUAAGGUAACGGCUUACCAAGGCAACGAUGCAUAGCCGACCUGAGAGGGUGAUCGGCCACACUGGAACUGAGACACGGUCCAGACUCCUACGGGAGGCAGCAGUAGGGAAUCUUCCGCAAUGGGCGAAAGCCUGACGGAGCAACGCCGCGUGAGUGAUGAAGGUCUUCGGAUCGUAAAACUCUGUUAUUAGGGAAGAACAUAUGUGUAAGUAACUGUGCACAUCUUGACGGUACCUAAUCAGAAAGCCACGGCUAACUACGUGCCAGCAGCCGCGGUAAUACGUAGGUGGCAAGCGUUAUCCGGAAUUAUUGGGCGUAAAGCGCGCGUAGGCGGUUUUUUAAGUCUGAUGUGAAAGCCCACGGCUCAACCGUGGAGGGUCAUUGGAAACUGGAAAACUUGAGUGCAGAAGAGGAAAGUGGAAUUCCAUGUGUAGCGGUGAAAUGCGCAGAGAUAUGGAGGAACACCAGUGGCGAAGGCGACUUUCUGGUCUGUAACUGACGCUGAUGUGCGAAAGCGUGGGGAUCAAACAGGAUUAGAUACCCUGGUAGUCCACGCCGUAAACGAUGAGUGCUAAGUGUUAGGGGGUUUCCGCCCCUUAGUGCUGCAGCUAACGCAUUAAGCACUCCGCCUGGGGAGUACGACCGCAAGGUUGAAACUCAAAGGAAUUGACGGGGACCCGCACAAGCGGUGGAGCAUGUGGUCUAAUUCGAAGCAACGCGAAGAACCUUACCAAAUCUUGACAUCCUUUGACAACUCUAGAGAUAGAGCCUUCCCCUUCGGGAGACAAAGUGACAGGUGGUGCAUGGUUGUCGUCAGCUCGUGUCGUGAGAUGUUGGGCUAAGUCCCGCAACGAGCGCAACCCUUAAGCUUAGUUGCCAUCAUUAAGUUGGGCACUCUAAGUUGACUGCCGGUGACAAACCGGAGGAAGGUGGGGAUGACGUCAAAUCAUCAUGCCCCUUAUGAUUUGGGCUACACACGUGCUACAAUGGACAAUACAAAGGGCAGCGAAACCGCGAGGUCAAGCAAAUCCCAUAAAGUUGUUCUCAGUUCGGAUUGUAGUCUGCAACUCGACUACAUGAAGCUGGAAUCGCUAGUAAUCGUAGAUCAGCAUGCUACGGUGAAUACGUUCCCGGGUCU
rnacentral:rRNA from 1 species